UAUGUUUACAAAUUAAACCCAACAUAAAAGAAGAAGAAGAUGAAAACUGUUAAGUUUCUUUUCUGAUUUUGAAGUUGUAAAUGUUGUGUGUGCAACCUUGUUGUUUGAAUUAUAGAUUGUGUUGGGAAGCUAAUUAAAUAUGUUUCAAGAAUUUCUUUCAUGUUUAUGUGAUUUGGGAACUUCAAAAACUGGACAAAAAGGUGGGUUAGUUUCACUUUUCUACAAGUAUGUUGAAGUUGGUGAGCCAGAAAUGCAUUUCCGAGUUUGUUAAAAAUACAUUUGGCAUAUCAUGUUAUUCACCAAUAAUGAUUUGGUUUAGCGUGACCGUGUUAUGAGUUGUAGAAUAAUUUGGCGUUU